CUACAGAGCUCUCGAUGUCCUGACCCUUCACUCCUGUAGGAUUUGGGCUAGCCCCUUCUGAAGGAACAGGGACCCCUUUAGUGGGCACAGGCUGUGGUCAUAUUUCUUUUCUCUUUUUCUUUUCUAAUGUUUUUGAGGUAGCCUAGGCUGACCUCUGAGGAUAGCCCAAGUGCUGACACUUCAGGUGUGUGACACCAUGCCUGGCUACCGUCACAUUUUGUCACAUGCCUUUUGCCUGUACUUACUGACUGGAGAGCUGUUUAUUCAUGCUUUGCCCAUGUCAAAACUGGAUAACUGAUUCUUCUCUUUCACCUACAAGUUAGACCAGGAUGGGCAUUUUCAUGAGCCUAUUGCCUAGGGAGGUUUGUAAAUGAUAGACACAGGCAAGGCGGGGCCAGAGGAGGCUGAGGUGAAAAUCCAAGGAAAAAUCCAAGAGUCAGUCAGAUGGCAAAGAACUGAAGAAAUACUGGACCAUUGGAGGGUUCCCAGUGGGAAAGUGCGAACUUCAGGACGGGCCGUGUGGAGACUUCUGGGGCUGAGACGUGACUAACACAUUUCCAUGCUGAAGGAUGUGGUGGACUGGCAAGGGACUAGAAUAAGAGAUGACUUUGUUUUAGAUCUUAUGUAAUCUCCAAAGGGUCCCAGGAAGGAUGGGACCUCUGCUUGGAUCUGUGCUGAGUCUGAGGAUCACUGCAGGUCAGGGGAGGAGAACUCCUCGCUGGGUGUGAAGCGGAGAAAAUCAAGAACCGGUUGUAACUUGUUCCUCAGCAGCCCCAACUCUGAUAAGGUUUAGUCAUCGGUUCCUGUGUGUGAGGGGUUGGUGUUUGUAUGUGGAAGCUGAGGAGGACUCGGACUGGAACUUUCUGUCUCUGCCUCUGAGCUCUGGGAUCACAGCUGUCAACCACCACACUCGGUUUACCUCGUGAGCUCUAGAGAAGCACCCUGCCAACUAUGGUGCAUGCUACCCCUUGAAAUUCUCUUUCCUGUUCUAUUAAGUGACAGGUAGCUAGGAUGG
rnacentral:lncRNA from 1 species